AUUAUAUGGUCAAGAAGAGAAGCGCAAACGGUGGAUGCCUUGGCAGUAAGAGGCGAAGAAGGACGUGGAAUCCUGCGAAAAGCUAUGGGGAGCU
rnacentral:rRNA from 1 species